CUACCUUAUGUGACGGCGGGCCUCUGACGCUGAUAUCGGGCACAGCUUACUUCCGGUUUCUGCUCGCACUAACAAAAUGCCUGGCGCGAAUUGGGUUUUGUUCGGAUGUUCCGCCUGCAAUAAAAGAAAUCGGGGUUGAUCAUUCUAUCGCUUACCCAAAAACAACAUAGAGUGGAGAGAGAAUCAUUACGUAUCAUACAGUCUACCAGAUCAGACCCGAUAAAUGACAAGACCUUGACAAUAUGUUCAAGACACGUUGAGCCGGAUUAUUUCGUUGAAAAAAUGUUUACAAAAAUUCUGGGUCCACAUAUCGAAGAUUAAAAGAAGGGUUAGGGAGACUAUCAACCUUAAUUCUUCUACAGAAAAGCGUAACAACAAAGAAAUUGAAUCCAAGGAAGUCACCGAGUCCAAGGAAAACCGAGGAAACUCAAUGUUUACAUAUGAACGAAGUAACCUUUCAGAUGUUGCAGAAAUCAUUUUUAUGUCAAAUGUCUGCUUUGUGGCUAUGUCAGUCUUCAAGUGAUUAUAUCUAUCUGUUUAAAACUGAAGAUAAAAGUGUAACAUACCAUUUAACCAUUGACAAGGACUUGAAUUGUGAAGUACAAUAUAAUAAUUUUUGUUUCCUGUUCAAAUUAAAGUUACAUCUAUAGAUUUACUUAUAAGAACUGUUGAGAAUAUGAAGAUAUGUGGGGGCAUAACAUCAAAACAUUUACAGUCUUAUUCUCAAUGUCAGCCUACAACUGUAAGAUAUAUCAGACAGGUUGAUAUUUUCAUGAACACAAAUAAGUCAACAUAGAAAUUACGAAAGCUGUGUACUUGCUUCUGUAUGUAAUAGUUUUGUUGAGGACACUCAAAAAGAAAUUUGUUUAAGUUGUCGACAGAUUAACAGAGAUUUACAGAGAAAGUAAAUAGUAAUAAUAAUAGUUUAUUUCACAUAUAUGGCUACAUAGCACAUUGCAUAUUCAGAUUUUGAUUGACAAUAUAUAAUUCAAAGAAUCAAUAUUUACAUACUUGUAAAUGUAAUUUACAAUUCAAAAAUAGCUUAGCAAUAAUAUAUAGUUGCCAUAUAAACGAGCAAACAGUGAUAGAAUAUAAUCAUGUGGUAUGAAUUUGAUUAAAAUGUAGAUUUCA